UGCCUACGGGGGGCAGCAGUGAGGAAUAUUGGUCAAUGGGAGAGAUCCUGAACCAGCCAAGCCGCGUGAGGGAAGACGGCCCUAUGGGUUGUAAACCUCUUUUGUCAGGGAACAAAGGCGGGGACUAGUCCCCGGAUGAGGGUACCUGAAGAAAAAGCAUCGGCUAACUCCGUGCCAGCAGCCGCGGUAAUACGGAGGAUGCGAGCGUUAUCCGGAUUUAUUGGGUUUAAAGGGUGCGCAGGCGGCCUGUUAAGUCAGCGGUAAAAGCCCGGGGCUCAACCCCGGCGAGCCGUUGAAACUGGCGG
rnacentral:rRNA from 1 species